CUACGGGUGCUCCAGUGAGGAAUAUUGCACAAUGGGGGGAACCCUGAUGCAGCAACGCCGCGUGGAGGAUGACGCAUUUCGGUGUGUAAACUCCUUUUGUAUGUCAAGAAAAUGACGGUAGCAUAUGAAUAAGCACCGGCUAACUCCGUGCCAGCAGCCGCGGUAAUACGGAGGGUGCAGGCGUUACUCGGAAUCACUGGGCGUAAAGGACGCGUAGGCGGGUUGGAAAGUCAGGUGUGAAAUCCUACAGCUUAACUGUAGAACUGCACUUGAAACUUCUAAUCUAGAGUAUGGGAGGGGGAGAUGGAAUUAGUGGUGUAGGGGUAAAAUCCGUAGAUAUCACUAGGAAUACCUAAAGCGAAGGCGAUCUCCUGGAACAUUACUGACGCUAAGGCGUGAAAGCGUGGGGAGCAAACAGGAUUAGAUACCCGCGUAGUC
rnacentral:rRNA from 1 species